UGUUUUGUAGUUUAAGGGUAAAACUCCAUUCUUCUAAAGUGGUUAUCUGGGUUCAAUUCCCAGCAAAACAU